CCGAGAUGUGUGAGGAAACGGAGAGUGAAAGAGAGACACCAUGGCUUCUACCAAGAUGCUGCUGCUGCUCUUCUCAGUGGUCCUGCUUGCCCUGACCUCAGUGAGAGGUGCUAAGUAUGAUGCUUUCUCUCAAAACCAUGUUGAAGAGCCGGAAUUCCCUGAAGAGGAAGAGACUAGGUACCUAGAGAGAG